UACGAAGGGGGCUAGCGUUGCUCGGAAUUACUGGGCGUAAAGCGCACGUAGGCGGCUUCUUAAGUCGGUGGUGAAAUCCUGGAGCUCAACUCCAGAACUGCCUUCGAUACUGGGAAGCUCGAGUCCGGGAGAGGUGAGUGGAACUGCGAGUGUAGAGGUGAAAUUCGUAGAUAUCGGGAGGAACACCAGUGGCGAAGGCGGCGACCUGGACCGAUACUGACGCUGAGGUGCGAAAGCGUGGGGAGCAAACAGG
rnacentral:rRNA from 1 species